rnacentral:lncRNA from 1 species
AACAAACACAAAAAAACACAAAAAAAAACAAAAAAAAAAAACCAAAAACAAAACAAAUUAUGUCUUUAAAAACUAAAGCCGCACAGGAGGAGAUAAAGACUGAAUCUUUGAAAUACUUUGCAUGGAUAUCCCAUCUUGAGAGUGUCAUGGGGCCCUAAUGCCAACUCGCAGAGCCAGCUGAGGGCAGGUCCCGCAGACCUCACUGCAGAUUCUCUCCUACAGUAAAAACAUGUAGACUUGGCUCUGUAGAAGCCCCUUCUUUACUGAAAGCAGAAGACUGCGUUUCAAGGAAAGGCUCAUAGGAGAACAAGGAGAUGAAGUGAGUCUAGAAAGGUCGUUGAGCUGCACGGUCUUUCGCAGGGACGUAGUGAGAAACCAGGUAUUCCACCGCGUUUUGGCCCUGAGUUUUGAGAAAUCAUUGCUCGGAGAAAAAUGUCGUGGAAAUACAAAAUAAGAAAGACCAGCCGCAAAGCCUCUGCCAGCUUUCAAGUGCAAAAGAGUGAGUCUCAGCUUAGUUAAUAUUUUAAUUAACAGAGUUCUUGGUUGUGCGAAGAGGGAUCUAUAGCUAAGAAGAGGCAGAGAAAGAUGAAUUCUUCUUCUUUUUUUUUAAUGUAGAGAGUUGAAUUUCCAGGAGACAUCCAAUAGAAGUGGCCCAGAAAACAGACAAGUGAAGAAACACAGCAUGGCAGGACCUAGAAGAUAGAGAAGAUGGCCAGAAAUUCCUGGGAAAGAAGACAGGGGUCUAAUAGCCCACGUUAAGUUGAACUGCUGGGAUGUGAGCCCCUCCUUCACCCUAACAUCCAGUGAAACCUUGCUAUGGAGAUUGAGCUCACUUCUACAUCAGCAGAGUAAGGUUACUGCAACGAUUUGGGAUCUUUGAAGGAAUAUCUACAAUGUUGUCACACAUUCUAGAAAACCUGCUUUUCAAAGGGGAAAACCCAUAUAACUAUUAGAGACUGAGGACUAGAGAAAA